AUAAUACUCCCUCCGUCCCAAAAUUCUUGUCUUAGAUUUAUCUAAAUACGAAUGUAUCAAGUCACAUUUUAGUAUUAGAUACAUCCGUAUCUAGACAAAUCUAAGACAAUAAUUUUGGGACGGAGGGAGUACUAU
rnacentral:pre_miRNA from 1 species